rnacentral:rRNA from 1 species
GAUGAACGCUAGCGAUAGGCCUAACACAUGCAAGUCGAGGGGCAUCACAUGAAGUAGCAAUACGGAUGGUGGCGACCGGCGCACGGGUGAGUAACACGUAUGCAACCUGCCUUCAACAAGGGGAUAACCCGUUGAAAGACGGACUAAUACCCUAUAACACAGGGGUCCCGCAUGGGAAUAUUUGUUAAAGGACAACCGGUUGAAGAUGGGCAUGCGUUCCAUUAGCUAGUUGGCGGGGUAAGGGCCCACCAAGGCAACGAUGGAUAGGGGAACUGAGAGGUUUAUCCCCCACACUGGUACUGAGACACGGACCAGACUCCUACGGGAGGCAGCAGUGAGGAAUAUUGGUCAAUGGACGCAAGUCUGAACCAGCCACGUCGCGUGAAGGAAGACGGCCCUACGGGUUGUAAACUUCUUUUGUAAGGGAAUAAAGUGUAGUACGCGUACUAUUUUGCAUGUACCUUACGAAUAAGGAUCGGCUAACUCCGUGCCAGCAGCCGCGGUAAGUACGCAGCGA